GUCAUCUACCGUCAUCUACCGUCAUCCACCGUCAUCCACCGUCAUUUACUGUCAUCUACCGUCAUCUACCGUCAUCUACCGUCAUCUAGUGUCAUCUACCGUCAUCUAGUGUCAUAUACCGUCAUCUAGUGUCAUCUACCGUCAUCUAGUGUCAUCUACUGUCAUCUACUGUCAUCUACCGUCAUCUACCGUCAUCUAGUGUCAUCUACCGUCAUCUAGUGUGAUCUACAGUCAUCUAGUGUGAUCUACAGUCAUCUACUGUCAUCUACUGUCAUCUAGUGUCAUCUACAGUCAUCUGCUGUCAUCUACCGUCAUCUAGUGUCAUCUAGUGUCAUCUAGUGUCAUCUACCGUCAUCUAGUGUCAUAUACCGUCAUCUAGUGUCAUAUACCGUCAUCUACUGUCAUCUACUGUCAUCUACUGUCAUCUACUGUCAUCUACCGUCAUCUACCGUCAUCCACCGUCAUCUACUGUCAUCUACUGUCAUCUACCGUUAUCUAGUGUGAUCUACAGUCAUCUAGUGUGAUCUACAGUCAUCUACUGUCAUCUAGUGUCAUCUACAGUCAUCUGCUGUCAUCUACCGUCAUCUACUGUCAUCUACUGUCAUCUAGUGUCAUCUAGUGUCAUCUACCGUCAUCUAGUGUCAUAUACCGUCAUCUACCGUCAUCUAGUGUCAUCUACCGUCAUCUAGUGUAAUCCACCGUCAUCUACCGUCAUCUAGUGUCAUCUAGUGUCAUCUA